AAAAUGACAUCCAAACACACAAUGCGGCAGCUUUAGAUGUGGUUACAGGGUGCUGUAUACAUGAUUGUAAGAUUCCAUAACUUUGAAGGUCAUGCUUUCACAGUCUGCUAAGUGGAAUCUCUUCAAGGCUAUUCUGAAAACUAUUAUCUAAGAGUGCGCAAGAGAAAAACACCUGAUGUUCGUGCUUGGCAUCAAAGCUUUUCAGUAUAGUGAAUUUGAAGAAUUCAAAAAUGUGAGCUGCUGGCCAAUGGCUAAUAUAAACCUGAAGGAAAGAGAUCACCAGCUAGCCCAAGCAAGCCAAAAAGUUGGGCAUCCAGGGCCUAAGCAUUGGAAAGACAUACUUGGAGCUGCCCAGCACUGCCUGUAUGUUA
rnacentral:lncRNA from 1 species